UUGUAUAUUGACAUUUGGUAAAGUGAUUGAUGUGUAGUGUGUGUUGAUAAAUGGCACUGGGUCGACCCCUCUUUUUGCCUUUUUUUUUUUUACCUUCUACUUUAUUUUCUCCUUCUCAACAGCAAAAUGCAGAGACGAGGGUCACGAGACAAAGAAAGAGAACAGAUAGCGAGCAGAGCGGUAAGAGAGAGAAACAGAGAUCCGGGAGACGGCGAGUCUCCGGCAACCGGCCUUCGACGCGUGCUCGCCUCCCACAAACAGAACUGAACGACUCUAGGGCUUUCCGGUGAAGAUUAUGAAGUGCAGUAACACGGACACCACUCGUCGCGGUGACUGUCACUGCCGCCGCUGACAGAGACGAGAGUCACGAGACAAAGAAAGAGAACAGAUAGCGAGCAGAGCGGUAAGAGAGAGAAACAGAGAUCCGGGAGCCGGCGAGUCUCUGGCAACCGGCCUUCGACGCGUGCUCGCCUCCCACAAACAGAACUGAACGACUCUAGGGCUUUUCGGUGAAGAUUAUGAAGUGCAGUAAUAUGGACACCACUCGUCGCGGUGACUGUCAUCGCCGCUGCUGACAUGAAGAUUUAGGGUUCCGCCGUGACAGAGUGUGACGAUGGUGUUGUUAGUUGUCACCGAAGGUGAGUAACUCUGGCCAAUCGACUCUAUGGUGUUUCUGUGCAACCAAAAUCGGCACCGAUCAGGUACAAUGAACCCACCUCCUGGUUAUCUGUAGAUCUAGGGUACGGGUAUUUCAUCUUUCGUUGAAAGGGUUUUUGAGUGUGGGUUUCCGAAAUCUUGAAUUUGCUGUCUUUAAUCUAAAUGAAAUCAGUUUGUGGGUUUUGUGUCAAUAAAGGUUUGAGUUCAAUUGGGUAUUUUGUGUUGAGUGUGUGGGUUUCUUGAAAUCUUUAAGCUUGCUAAUCAAUGUGCAGGUGUCGUUUGUCUAAAGAUGCGACUUCAAUUGGGCGUGAACUCGCUAAGCAAAAUUCACAUAAAACCCUUAAUAGUUUUAUGUUCAAUUUGUAUAAUUUGAACCUCAAUUUCGCUAAAUUGUUGUUUAUGGUUUAUAAAUUUGUUCUUAAAUGGGAGUAAUCUGUUCAAGAACACAUCAAUUUAGGUUAAAAUUGAUCAUCACAACAUCUCAUGACAGUACUCUUCAAGCUCUUCACAGGUACAUCUAUUGUAGUAAUGAUUUUUUAGGGGUAAAAUUGCUCAAAAUUAUGUUUAUAUUCACUUUAGGAGAUAGGAGAUUCAGUUCAUUGUCAUGGGUUUUAGAUUAUCUAAAUUGUUCUAUCAUCUCAGCUCAUUAGUUGGGUUUAGAACCAAUACAACUGUGAGCUUGAGAGUUAACAAACUUUUCGUUUCUGUGUUUUGAUUAUUGUACCAGUAGUUACAUUACUGCUAUUGAUCAUUCAUACAAUUUAUAAUAUAGUAAUGUGCUCUCGGAUGUCCCACGUUGGUCAUUUGCUUGAGCUUAUAAAUGCCUUCUGCAUCAGUAAAUAUCUGGAUUCAUCUAUGCAAUGAAAUCUUUUAAAUUUCUUUAUUUUUGGUUGUUAUUUUUCUACAUAGAUACAUUUUAUCUUAUGGAAAAAUAAGGAAAGGCAGAACAGCAAAGAUGGGGAAUUGAACCAACAUCAAGUGGGUAACACCGGAUGCAUCUAAACCACUAAUCCAUUGAGCUUUUCCAGGUUUCUCAAAAUGCUUAUUUAUAGAUAUAUAACAUCAUCGGCAAACUAUACAUAAAAAGACCCAAGACUGAAGAAAAAGGAUAGGAGACAGGGUAAAAUUCUUAUUCUAAAGAUGCCUAACAAUCAUAUCAACUCUGAAGAUGGAAAACAAGAUAUUUAUUUGGCUUAUAAAAAUGCGGUCUGAUGGUGGGGUCUCUAAGAUGUCUAUUUGGUGGCAUGGGCAUAUGGAUAUGGAUCACUAUAAUCAGCUCCAGUAUAUGGAUGUCCCGCUAACAUGGCCGAAUGAAACAGGUCCGAUUGCUACGAUGACCUGAAUUUUACUGUUUGGUAUAAGUCGGAGUUAAGGUAACCUUUAAAACAAAGACUCUGUUUGGCAAGUUGUAUUGAUUUUAAAAGUCUACAUGUUGUAAAAGAAAAUAUGUAAUUAGAGAUUAGCAUUUGAUGUAUAAAAUUUGCUGCUAUGAAUGAAUGUUUUGGAAACUAACUCAUAUGUUAAAAACGGAAGGCAAAUGAACAGUGUUAUCAUC